rnacentral:lncRNA from 1 species
CCGUGCGAGGGGGUUUAUACUAACGUUACUAUCUGUACUUACUGGUGGCACAGACGCUGUUUCAUCCUUUCCUACACUGAAAUUACCCUUGCCUAACGAUCGCGUCUGAAGCUGGGCUUGCAGCACAGCUAUCCUUGCCGUAAGGCGAUCGUUCUCCUGUCUUUCAGUAGGUGUACACACACACACACACACACAGUGGGUUUGUUCCGGGGCUGUAGCUGGGGUGUAAAACUGGAGCUGUGAGCUGACAGCAGACAGGAUAGAGCCAGCAUUACACUGACAGGGAUGGGACCUGAAGCAGAAUGAGAAACACACACACACACAGCCCUCAGAGCUAUACAUGCGUGCGCGCACACACACACACACACACACACACACACACACACACACACACACAGUCUUGUACAGCACACACACAGACACGCACACACCCCUCAGCUACACAAGACCUGAACUCCUCUCCAUCUUUCCUGAUGUCCUCCUGUGAGACUGUUUGUCUGUUUCUCAACUAUAAAUCUGAAAGUCUCUCCAUCAGAACACCCCCAGCCACAACUCACUCACUGUAGGUUCUAGUCAGGUUGGAUUAUCUGGAUUAGUGGAAAGAAGCCAGGAACACAUUACUUUGAGUCCAACCUAAGUCACCCACUCACCUAACCUCUUCAACAGGUACACAAACAGGUCCAGAAAGAAGGCGUUUAGAGUAAAUCACUAAUUUACUGUAUGUUUGAGUAAAGUAACACACCUACGUAGGAAUAGUAGUUACAGAAUAAUCGUCAUCAAAUGUUACCCAGCUGCUGGCUAUCUCGCAGUCCUUCUAAUGUAUUUUCUUGGUUCAAGCUCAAUUCUCACACAUUGCAACCCACAAAUCCAAGACCACAAAUCCCAUGGUCAUCCCACCAUUCCCAAGCUGUAGGGAAGCUUCUGCUUGAUCAAUACACUGAUCAAAAAGAGUGGUUGAGUAAAAGCAGAAAUCUGUAAGGAAUAUUUAUAAGACAAGGAGAGGGUUAAUAUAUGCCAGCCCCAGAUUGAUAAAACCACCUCAAUUGGUCCAGUAAAGCUUGGCAGAAAAUGAACUGCUAAGUUAUGUGUCAGGCUUUCACCACUUGUUAAGUAGCAGUAUUUUGAUCAAUUCUCUGUUGGAGGUAAGUUUCUUUGAACAGACCAGGGAACAGACCAGUUCCUUCCUGUGCACCGCUGGGCUGGCUGACGAAAACCAGCGCCCGGGUUCCUUCCACGCUUGAUACACCCACAACUACCAGGCUGCUGUUUGCUGCACGCUGCCAGGCACACAG